UCCUCUGCAGGAGUCUUCUGGCAAGUCGGGGAUUGACAUUUUAGACGACACAGUGUAGCAAUUACAAUUUUGCCUUGUUUUCUCACCACCAUCUCCUGGGGGAGUCUGAUUUCCCAUCAUUAUCUGCAUGAUCACCGGGACGAGAUGUUGACUGCUUCCUGUUUGUGCACAACCAGAGCUGAACGAGGGUACAUUCCCAGACAGGCCAGUAAUUUGGCAGCCUUCAAAACUGAUAUUCUCUAAACAUUUAAUAAAGGUGUAAGCAUCAUCCUGAAAGGACAGUCUAUGUGUAUUACUAAUCCAGUACGCCUUCUAUUCUUCUUCUACCCAUCCCCCAAUCCUCAUCACAUAAGAGCACAGGCAGAAAGGAAGAGGCCAAUAAUGAUUCCAGCAAGUCUGAGCACUGCUGCACUGACCCUGCUGGAGAAGCUGCUGAUUGCUUGACUUAUGUAUAGUAUAAAAGCAGCAGCACUUUGCCAGCAGCCAUCUCAGACUGAGGAUAAAACUAACACAGGGAAGAAACAAGGAAGGUAUCAUCCAUUUACUUAAACCACUAAAUCUCCUUUCUGUUUAAAUCACUUUGAAUUAGCUGUUGUUAUUAUUAUUUAUGAGUCAAAGCAUACUGACGACUUUAUCUGAAAAGGUCACAAUAGGUACUAAUAAGCUGCAAACUGGAAGCAACCUUUCCAGGGAGCGAAUAGGCAAUAUGUAUCCAAAACUUUAAAAUGAAUUACAUCUUUCACUUUAUAAUCCUGCUCCUAGGAUUGUAUUCCAAGGGGCUAAUCACAGAUGGUUAAAGACCUGUGUUAGAG
rnacentral:lncRNA from 12 species